AUCUGGCUAUGACAUCUGUUACCCCAUUGAUAGCCAGGGUUGAUUCAGCUGAUCUGGCUGGCUUGGUGGGUGUUUUGUU
rnacentral:snRNA from 1 species